GGCUUAGAACUCUAUUGUAGAUCUGGACUAGGUCCGGAUCUACAAUAGGUGUUUUAAUAGUCAACGUCAAAAUAUCGAGCUAGAGGCUCGGGUAUUCAUCGAUCGUUAAAAAUGAGAAAGGUAGACAGUGAACCCGGUUCGUGCGAUAAAAGCUAGAGGAGAUAUUAAGAAAAAGAGUAAACCAGCAUAUGUAUCCUUGUCGAGAUCUAUAUUGAAUAAAAGAUAAAAGAAGAACGCGGGAAAAUUCCAGAACAUUGUUUCUAGAGCGAGAAAGGGUGCCCGCACAGGUAUGCGAAAUAAACGAAGGAAGCGUUAAACACGGGUAACAGUCGUAAUUGUUA